UACAGAGGUCUCAAGCGUUGUUCGGAUUCAUUGGGCGUAAAGGGUGCGUAGGUGGCGUGGUAGGUCGGGUGUGAAAUUUCGGAGCUUAACUCCGAAACUGCAUUCGAUACUGCGGUGCUUGAGGACUGGAGAGGAGACUGGAAUUCAUGGUGUAGCAGUGAAAUGCGUAGAGAUCAUGAGGAAGACCAGUGGCGAAGGCGGGUCUCUGGACAGUUCCUGACACUGAGACACGAAGGCCAGGGGAGCAAACGGG
rnacentral:rRNA from 1 species